CCUUUUGUCGCCAUCUAUCGGGUUGAAAGAGCAAAAGAGAACUCCAAAAAACGAUAUUGACGUUUUAACUUUUUCUUGAUUUAUGUCUGAAAAGCCGAAUGUCACACAUUGUUUCUACGUUAUAUGGGUAUAUCUUAUUUAAAAGUUUCUGAUACGUUAUGGCUUAUGCUAUUUGUUAUAAAACCUAUAUCUGACCAAGGUUUUAUAAAGUCAUCAACAUUAUUGAUAAAAUGACCUAUGAUUCAUUAGUCAUUGCAUGGAUUCGUUUUUAUUGGAUUAUAAAAUAAACUGAUGAUGAUCAUCUGCAUUUAAAGUGCUCUAUAAUAUAGUCUAUUAUUUUUAAAUAUGUAUUUGAACGCACAGGUUUAAAUACUGGAUGGAUGAAAGGUAGAGAUGGCCAACAUUUCUGAGUUGCGUAAUACAUUAGCCGCUGCAAUCACUUGUGGUGAAGAAACCAAAGGGCCUAUAAUUCAGAUUCUUGUGACUGAUUUGCCGUUGAGGAAAAAAUUUGACUGUGUGGACUUUUGUCAGCUGCUUCAAAACAAUUCACAGUCUGUCGCAAGUGUCAAGAGCCUUCUUCAAGGCCUCAGUAUUCUGGAGAAAUAUGGCCGCCAUCUUCUCAAGCCCAGUGAGAGCAGAUCAUCGCUGUGGACACAGAUCAAGUUCAGCAAUAGCAUCUUCAGAGAACGUGUCGACACUAUUGAGGGCGGGCGAGAUAUAAUGCACAAAUUGGGGUACACGCUUGAAAAGCCAGACUCGCUGUGUUUCCCACCUAACACUGAGCCAGACCACGGUCGAGUCCUGAACAUUGUGCUGGACCUGGCUAUUGGUCGUAAAGAGCUGGAAAUGUACCUAGAGGGGCAGCAUCCUCACCCACAUUAUGUAGAAGCCUUCCUCACACAACAAUUCAGGUCUCAGCUGUCUGGAAGAAGCAGUCAGCCUGCGCCAGGUAACCUGUCCAUGGCACAACCAAUGCCCUCACAGGCUCUACCCAGGUUUGAGCCAGGCAGGGGACCAGUCCCUGGUACCCAUGACGAGAGGGCUCAACCAAUGCCUGCAUCAGCCCAGCCAGGUCAAAGAUCAGCGAGGUUGGACCAAGGUCGGGUACCAACCCCUGCUGUCCUGGAUGAGAACAAUACUGGGGCUGCCUGCGCCCCUCAAAGCAUGAUCAUUCCAAAUGACCACGGGGCAUCGAGAUCUGACGACCCUGCUAUCGGGACACAGAGUCUGAUGCCCAACAUGGUCGGACGAUCAAACCAACAUUUUCAGCAGGAAAAAUUAAUGCAUCUCAACUCCUCACUCUUUAUGGGAAAUUCUAUGAUGACUGGUCCACCAAAUGGUACCCCUAAUCAGACUCAACAGAGUCACUUGGAUACUAGCGUGCCAAAUCUUGUGUUACAACAGCAGCAGCAGCAUCAGAUAGUUCAACAUCAGCAGAGUCCUUCAAAUCAUGCUAACUCAUUGUUCCAGCAAAAUGUUACUGACCAAUCAGCUCACCUGUUACAGACACAGCAAGGUCAGUUCAACCAAUCAAAUCCUGCCUUCCAGCCACACAAUUCCAACCAAUCACAAAACAUGUUACAUCACCAGCAGCCCAAUAAAACCAGCCAAUCCAAUGAUAAUCCGGUACCAGCUUUGCCUGGUUACCACGUGUCGCUGACAGCACCCAUGGAGUUCCCGCCCAAUAGACAACCACCUGGCGAGUAUCACGGAGCAAGACCUAAACAACCUCCAUCACCUGGUCCUGAGCCUGCCGGUUUGGUCCCAUCGUCUGCAAAUGUUGAAGUCCCUCAGAGCCCUGGCACAGUGUGUGAGAUAUGCGGCUACAACCAGGCAGAGGUGCUGUGUCAGGACCAGAUGUGUGCCAACAAGAUGUUGUGCAUGGAGUGUAACACCAAGUGGCACAGCCACCCCAAGCGCACAAACCAUAAGGUGGAGAGGCUUCACCCCCUGACCUCCCCGCGGUCAGCCCCGGCCCCCGACCGACAGCAAUCUGACGAUGGGAACACCCAACAACCAGGUGAAAACCAGUACAGACAGUCCCAGGGAAGAAUUCUGGGUGGCAACAGCAUGACGGGAUAUGGCUUACCACAACAUGGGGUGCAGAAUACACCUCAGUCACAUCACCAGAGAAGCUUGUCUACUAAUCAACAAAUAGGCAUGCCACAAACACCAUCACAGUCUGGCAGUUACCAGGGCAUGCCACAAACACAGACACAGUCAAGCGGGUACCAGGCCAACUUCAACCAAAAUCUCCAUGGCAACCCCCAGUUUCCUGGUGCUGAGCACAUGAUGCAGCCCGGAUACAUAAUUUCCCAUCAGCAACAGUAUCCUAUGCCUCCAUCCAUGCAUUAUCCAUCUGGAAUUGUUACCAGCGGGCAUAUGCUGUAUCAGCCUGUUCAGCCACAUUAUCAGGCUAGCAUUCCUGUGUAUAUACAAGGGGGUUAUGGAUUGCAAAUGGGGAGCCCUGAAGAACACGGGAUGAUCCCGUCUAGAUCAGACACAACUCUGAACAGGCAUUCCACUUAUGAUCAGACCGGAUAUAAUGAUAGUCAUAUGAGACAUUCAGUGCCAACGCAGAAAGGUUUGGAACAGAAAAAAUUAACAACUCCGACCUCCGCUGGAUCAUCCGGUAGCAUGCUUCCUUGGCAUUCAGAGAGUUCACUUCUUCCUGGUAUUCUAGAAAUUAAAGAUCUUGGCAAGAGGCAUUCAAAGUUGGAGAUAAUGUUGAUGAAUCUGCAAGAUGAUGUCAAGGAUUAUGACCAAAAAAUGAAUGAUAUCAUGAUAGAAAAUCCUGACUUUUUUCAUGACGAAAACUACCAAAACUAUGCAAGGAAAAAGAGGAAACACUUGCAAGAAAUAAAGGAAUUAACUAAGCAUAAACAUGAACUGGAAUCAUCGCAAGAGGUGCAAGCUGGUGACAUUGAUCAGCAGAAUGGAACCAAUGAAACAAUUGAGACACUAAAGAAGCGACUGUCAGACAUUAAUCUUUCAAAGCCCCCUAGUAGCCCCUACUUCCCUGCUGUGGCCAGUCCUGAAAACUUGAGACCCAUAUUUCAGCCUUUGGGUCCACCAGUGGUCAGUUACCCAUACCCUUCCUACCCUCCAGGCACAUUGACCACUCCAACAGUGACCCCUGUAAAUAUGGUGGGGACGUCACAACAUUAUCCCCAGGUUUUGCAAUCGAGUGGGCAAGAAAAUGUACCCAGUAAUACUUCCACCUUGACAAGUGCGUGGAGGCCAGGCAUUCCUCAGAAUAUUCAGAACAACUUUUCUGGAUGUGGUGAUCACAAUAUGGACGAAAUUAGAAAAAUGCUAGUUCUUGACCAGAAUCCACACGCUCCGAGACCUAGUAUUGGAAAUGCGUCAGGACUGGAUGUAGGCCAGGUACCAAUUGCCUAUCCUCCAAACAUUAUCGACACAUCACCACCCAAUGUGCACAAGUCUGGUGUUAACAAGACCUUGGAGGAGAAAUGGCAAUGUGAACACUGCACUCUCCUUAAUGACACUACAACAAACAUUUGUAGAGCAUGUGAAAAAACAUCAACAAGGCGGCAGUCUGGAGGUCAGCAACCAGCAGGGAAUUCUGGGGAGCUGCAGCAAGAGCAGUGCGAGCACUGCACGUCCUUUAACCCUGUUGGCACAAAAGUUUGCUCUGUUUGCUGUAGGUCGCAGGACAAAUACCAGGCAAAGCUUCGAGUGUCCACUAGCGCCGCCAAGUUGGCAGCUCAGCAUAAAGACAGCCAAUCAUCCGAAGGCGUUGGGUCACCAUUUGAAUUCGUUCCCCGUGCAAAUGAGACUGAGAAGAAGUCCCCAGAGUUGAUUGCAGCCUCUGGAGUUGGGAAGAUCAUUGAUGAAGAGCAGGAUAAGGUUUACCUUGAGAAGAAGCAAGCACAUGAGGAGUACGCCAAACGAAUGAAACAGCAAGUUCAGAUAUCGAAUUCACCUGCACCACCCACGAACCAGAGCGCUGCUUCCAAGGGGAGACAAUCCCAAGCUGCCAUCUUCCCGCCAGAGUUUAUUGACUAUGUCGCCAUCCAGGAGAGCGAUUGUAGCGCUGCAGUGAUGGUAGAGGCAGCCCACCAGAUGACCGCUGUUGGACCGCCAAAACCUUCUGCUCAGAUUGCAAAAUCAGAAAGUCUCAACAAAAACUUGUCAACACUAAAAAAGAACAUGGAGCAAGGUUCAAACAGUGGGGAUGAAGCUUUCUCAUCGGCCCCUACCAGCCUGGAGCCAUUGACCCGUGAGGUCACAGAGGUUACAUACAAGACCCCUCCGGAGGUCCCUGACACUGAGAAGGGGUUUGUGGACACCAUGCUGAAACUGACGCAGGAAAGGGACCAGAAACAGGUCAACCUGGAGGGACGUACGCUCUUCUCAAUCAUCAAGAUGGCAUCUGAGGAGGGCUACACUGUACCUGAGGCAGAAUUAGCCGUCAUCUUGGACGAAAAAGACCCACUGCAGUAUCUGAAGAAUGUGUGGCCGAGUCUGAUAGACCAUGUGGCCUACCAUGCAGCUGAGGAAGGCAAGAAGGGGCCACAAAACAGCGUAGGGGACGUGUCUGCAGAGGAAGCCAAGGCAGCACUUCUGGCAUGUAAGGGAGAUCUGGACGCUUCCAUCAAGAAAUGUAUGGACGACAGGAUUGUUAAGUAUGGCAUGGUGAGUCAGCAGGGAGAGUUUGCGAGGGAGGAAAUUCUGACGGCUCUCUUCCAGCACAAGGGAGACGUGAUGGAGGCACUGGAUCAGCUGAACCACUCGCUAGUCAAGCCUGUCAGUGAUCGCGUGUGGAACGCUCCUGGAGAGGUGGAUGCAGGUCGUGAAGCCCUGUUUGGAGCAGGAAACCAGACUAAUAGUAUCUCUAACAGUGUGAUCCGAUGUGAUGACUUUCAGAGACUUGUUAAGAACAAGGAACUGCCUAAAGAAAGACGCAUUCGCAUGGUUUUCAUCGAGGGGAAGUUGAAGAGCUGGGGUCGUGCUGAGAUGGUGAUUCGUAUUUUGGAUGAGGACUUAAAGGAAGAUGAUGGCAAUCAGACCUGGACGCUCGAGGACAUCAUUGACGCCGUGCGCAACUGUGUUGGGGACCACCGUAGCACCCUGGUGUAUCUCAACCAGGAGUGCCAGCUCUGCUUCUGCCUCUAUCCGAUGUCAAAGAUCAUAAAGCUAGGAACCUGCAACUGUAACAUGUGUAAGGGCUGCGUGAAGCAGAAUUUUGAGGUGGCCAUACGUGAGCAUCAUGUGCGCAACUGGAACUGCCCGCUGUGCCAGAGUCCAAGUCUGGAGGAUGAGCUGGAGUCCUCCUCAUACUUUGAGUUCCUUGUACUGCUGCUGCAUAAUUUGGUUGCCAAGGAAAUCUUGGAUAUCUUCGAGACCAAACUUCGAGACUGGCACCUGCAGAAAGACCCGAACUUCCGCUGGUGUGCUCAUUGUGUGACAGGGUUUAUUUGGGACCAGCCUGACCAGUUAGAGAUGACUUGUCCCCCGUGCAGAGAAAAGACCUGCUUUAAGUGCAAAAAGAAGUGGGAGGACCAGCACCGUGGCCUGACAUGUGAGCAGUUCACUCAGUGGAAGAUUGAUAACGACCCCGAGAGACAGAGCAAAGGAGUGCAACUCUAUCUCGAGGAAAAUGGCAUUGACUGCCCAGGCUGCAAGAUGCGGUACAGUCUGGCCAAGGGUGGCUGCAUGCACUUCACGUGCCCCCAGUGUGGAUUCCAGUUCUGUAGUGGCUGUCAGCAGGCGUUCCACAAGGAUGGGACUUGCAAGUUGCUGAGAUCAUGCCAAGCAAAGGGCCUUCACUGCCAUCACCCUCGCGAUUGCUUCUACUAUCUCCGUGACAACGAUGUACCCCAGCUGCAGAAACUCCUCAAGAACCACAAGGUUGCGUUCAACACCGACCCCCCAGAGACGCAGGCAGACCGGGCUCACUGCUUUGUGAUGGAGCAGAAAGAGAGUGGAGUUCAGAAGAAGGACGAGGCAUGCGGCAAUGAGACUUCACCGGGCAUGGCGGGACUUUGCAGUAACCACUAUAAGGAGUACCUGGUGAGUCUAAUCAACAAGAACAAGAUCGAUCCCAUUGAGAUCAUGGACAUGGAUGCUCUCAAGAUCCUGAUCGAGAGAGACGAGAAACAGAUGCCGCCCCUCAACAAGAACGAGACCGAGGCUGCAUAUAGAAAACGAAUUGAGAAGUUCAUCAAGGACAAGUGGAAGUUGCACAGAUAACAUGGUGUUGUGUUACCAGUGAACAGCAAAUGUGGUACUGUAUAAUCAGUGCAAGGAUAACAUAGUGUGCUGAAACCAGGGAACAGCACAUGUGGUGGUGUGUAACAAGUGCACAUAUAACAAGGUGGUGUGUAACCGGUAUUUGAAAGAUGAGCUUGAUCGUUAUGAAACACGUGCAUGCCACGACAGAGAGGUGAACGACUUGUUUAACAAUGUAAUGUUCAUGACAGAACAUGAUCCUCAUUUAAUAUGUCCCCUUAUUUACAGGCUAAACAAUAUAUAGGCAAAUUUAUCUCAGUUUGUCAGUAUUCUUUUCCUUCUUGGCUAUUUGAAGGGUUUUUAAGAACAAAUUAAAGUAGCAACACAUUUAUAAGCGUUUUGGCUUAUUUGAUAGUGUGAGAGAAGGCCCUUGUUUGUUUAAAUAUUUAAACCAAAAGACAUAAUGUGGAUAUUUAAGGACUAGAAGUGUUUUUCACAUAUGAUAUAUCUACAAUUGCUUCUAUUUAUUCAGGCUGUUUAACUGUCAAUCCUCUUUUCAUUAAGGGUAUGUGUUUUUAUUUGUGAGAUCAUUGGAUACUUUAUAUAUGUUAAUCAGCAUAAAUAUAACAUAACAAAUCAAUGGCCUUAAGUUAGGCAUGCAAGAGAAUAUUUUACGUGCCACUCUUCUACUAUUCUAUAUACCUGGUACAUGAUUUAAUCGAGUAAAGUGAUUUUGGUACACUUUCCUGCAUUAUGGGAAAGUGGGUCUUAUGCCAUAUGUCAUGGUAAUGCCAUGCCAUGAUAGUUAAGUAAAGUAUAGUAAGGAAUAGUGACCGGUAAAGUAUUGUAAGGAAUAGUGACAUGUAUAGCAGUCCUUUUUUCAGCACUCUUUCUUUUUCAUCCAAUACAACAUUAAGAUUAUGGUAUGAUUUAAUGUGCUUUAAUUGUAAUGUAACAUACAAUGUCAAUGUGCUUUGAAUAUCAAUAUGUGAAUCAGAUCUCAAUAUUAAUACAUGUACCUGAAAAUGGUGGUGUGCUUAAAUGUGAUCAAAGAUGAAGUGCUUUAAAUGUGUUAGUAACAAUAUGUAUGUUUAAAGUACAUACUAUUUGAAUAUUAAUUAUUAAGGCUGUCUGUACAAAUAUUGCUAAGUGUUUAUUUAUUUUAUUAUUUAGUCUUUGCUUUUAUGAUAUGCAUUCAUUGUUCUGUUAUUGAAAAUAUUGUUUUGAUUUUAUACCAUGUUAUAAUUAAUUUUAUUAGUGUUGUUUGUUUUGUAAUCAGAAAUUUUAUUACACAUUAUGUCCCUAUUAUUAAAUAGGUUUUCGAUAAACAUAAGUUAUUCGUACAUUUGUUGUUUUAAUUUGUGUUUGAAAUUUAAAUGUUUUUGUUGCUUUCAUCACAAGAUUUUAACACCCUAUUUUAGUUUUUGUUUGGUACUCGAAACAUAUAUGUUUAAACCAUUUUGACACUUGUUCUCGCAAAGCAGUCAAAAAAAAAUAUUUCAAUUUCCAUCUCCAUUUUAUUCUGACCAGCAGGCUUGGAUGCUGUAGCGACUUUCUCUGUUUGCUGUAAGCUUCAGUAUGUUAAUGAUUUUGGAACAUUAAAUAUUUGAUUCAUUUCGAUUUCUAGAAAAAGUCUGGUAUGUAAAUACUAAGUGCUGCCCUGAACAUAAGUACAUUCAAAACUGGAUACGGUUUUCAACUAGUUUCAUAUAUUGCAACAGAGACACUUGGCAUCAUAUGGUUUUUACUUGUGUACUAGAAAGGCAGAUGGUAAAAAAUUUCUGAGUCAUAUACAAUGAAUAUUUUGUGAUUCUUCACUUUUAUGUCAGAACUCAUAUUGCAUCUGCUACUAUAAUAUUGCUUAUAUGGUCAAAGGUUAACUUAAUUGUUAAAUCAGCAAGCAUGGUUUUAUUUUUACAUUUUUCAAACAAUUGAUAUGAACAUAAAUAGCUCCAUGAACAAAAUUCCAGUCAGCAACAUGUGUAAACCAUUGUCAAACAUGCUUUUCAUACUGUAACAUGAAAUUAUUUUAUGGCACAAAACAUGUUCAUGUCCUCCUACUGUCACAAUAUUCGAUCCCAGUAAAUACUGAUCCUGGUAAAUAUUUAUACUCAGUUAUUUGAAGUUCCAAAGCAAGUUGUGUUGUAGCCUUAUAAAUAUCAAUAUCUUAA